UAAAAGAAGAUUCUCUCCAUUUUAUGGAUAUACAGUUAGAGAAAAAACAUACCUGCUGUCAUUCUGUUCAUUCAGUUUGUUGUAAGGAUAAAAAGCCUCCAAGAAAGUUGUAGGGGAGUUCUCAAUCCAAAAAUAUAUCCUACUUUCAUUUACCGGUUGACAGCUACUUAAGAAACUGAAUGUCUAAACAUAUACUGAGCAAUAAAUUGCCACAUAUUAUCAGCAAGAGUAAUGUUACAAUUAAACAAGAUGUAGAAUGUCAGUAACACUCUUAAGGCAGACCUACAAGUGUUUAACAGUAGAAUUUAUACAAAUUGUAUCACAAAUCAACAGUCAUUCUACCACAUUAAGUUUUGGGAUCAAAACUGUUGGCUGUAAUUCAGCCAAUCACUAAAAUAAAAUAAAAGAAAGGUACAUUUGGUUGUACUAUGUUAAUAUUCACCUUCCUUUGGCUGAGUCAUAACAGGUGUUUGUGUCUCCUUCGUAUAUGUAACAAUUUCCCGAGGAGGAAAGUCAACUUGUGUGAUUUUGGCCAUUCCAAGUUUAACAGGUCCACGUCUGGAUCCAACGGCGCCAUCACCGGAGUCCUGGCUCCCAGCCUCGCUUGGCGUACUCACGGAUUUGGAAGACGGAGAGGUAGGAGGAGGGACAACAGGAGACUCCGGUGUCAAGCCCAUGCUCUGAAGUAACGCUUCAGCUUCUCUUCUUUUCUUUUCAAGGUCAGAUUCUUCUUGUACAGGAAGAACAUCCUUCUUCUGAUCGGUUUCUUUUUUCUUUCUUUCUUCCUCCUUUCUUUUCUUCUCCUCUCUGAUCUGAGCCAAUCGCUGCUUCUUGCGCUCCAACUCCGCCUUCAGUUCACUUUUGUCAGACAUGACUGAAACAGGCAGCUGCGGAAGGACGCAGAGGCUUCAACGCAACGCGACGGGGCAGGAAUUCACUCGGGAACGGGCGCGUAGCGACGCGAGAAGGUGGUGGGCGCCUUCAGAAGCUUCAACGCCGCGCCCCUUCUGCCGAGCGCCGACGACGCGGCUCCGAGAACGACGACGCCCGGCGUGCAGCGCGCCGCGACAGGGCGGGCCUCGCUCUCGGCGCCGUACGGCGUGAGCGGGGACGGGC
rnacentral:lncRNA from 1 species